UGCCCCCGCCCCCGCGCGCAGCAGCCCUAGGGGGCGGUCCCCGGUGCGCCGGCCCCUAAGCUGCGCUCCAGAGCGCGGCCGGAGGUAGGCCUUAGCCCGCCUUCCAGCCCCCAGUUUGAGCAUACCACGGGAGCAGUGACAGGUGUCUUGGGGCCGGACAGACUAACCGAGGAAGCAGCUAGGAGAAGCUGGUCCGGAUGCCCAGAAUGGCCCAGAUCGCCACAGCGGUGUUCACCCCAGCUCAGACCUUACCAGUGUAGCCCUGGGGGACCUCCUGGCGGAGGAAUAGCGGAUCAGGUCCUCUGUGUCCCUUAUGGGAACCUCCCAUUCAGGCUCCUCUGCUCCGCCUCAGAGAAAUUGGGCCAGCUUUGGACACCUCCCAGAAUGAUUGCUCCACUGCGCGGCUGCUGCCGGUCUGGCACUGCCCCCAGCCUGGCUGUCCUGGCAGCUUUGGGGGAAGAACCGUGCGCCAGGUUCCACAGACCCAGAGCAGCUGGAGGAGGAGCACAUGCAGGAGGGAUCAGAUCUGGUUGCAGAAAGCCCUGCCUGAGCUGGGUCAUUCAGCAUGGUGAGGGGAGCCCAACAGCUACCCUUUUCCCCAAACUGAGACUUCUACCUGAGUCUUCUGGCCUCAUAAGACUCCAGUACCCUGGCCUCUGCUUUAAGCCAGGAGAUCGCAUUGGAGGAGGGGGGUCUGGAAGCCCCCCUGUAGCUGCCCAGGCUCUGGCCUGCUCUCUCCCUGGACCUGGCACCCCAGUGGCUGGGGCCCUCUAGGGAAUAUGAAAAGUGGAGAGGACACAGGAUUUGGACACAACCGUGGCUGUACUCUCUCACUGGCACCAUCCCUUCACAUGCCUGUCACACUGGAAACUGCUCCAUCAACUAUGGUCUCAAAACAGCAUGAAAGAACUGAUGAUUUUGCUACCAACUUAAUGGGUUUCCUGUAAGUAAACUCACUGGGACUCUUCAGAGGGAACACAGCAGUGCGCUGACCCAAGGAAAGAAACUAUGCAUAUCUCAGGGCCUAUCUCAUCUUUGCAGCGUGCUUUACAGCUUAGACCUGUUCCUUAGGGUCAUUUUCAUGACCAGUACUUUAUCUUGCUAUUUACAACAAAAAAUGAGGAAAUGGGAAACACAAAAUGUUACACGUACCUCGCUGAUCAUGGUGGUGAAUGUCUGUAAUCCCAGAGACUCAGGAGGCUGAGGCAGGAGGAUUACAAGUUCCAAGCCAGCCUUAACAAUUUAGCAAUGCCGGACUGGGGAUGUGGCUCAAGCAGUGGCGUGCUCGCCUGGCAUGCGUGCAGCCCGGGUUCGAUCCUCGGCACCACAUGCAAGCAAACAUGUUGUGUCCGCCGAAAAAACUAAAAAAUAAAUAUUGGAAUUCUCUCUCUCUCAAAAAAAAAAAAAAAAAAAAAAAAAAUUAGCAAUGCCCUAAGUGACUUACUGACACUCUCCUGUCUCAAUAAAAAAUAAAAAGGGUUGAAGAUGUAGCUCAGAGAUAAAGUGCCACUGGGUUCAAUCUCCCCAAUACAAAAGAAAGAGAGAGAGUUACAUGACCUAAACUUACAUAGGCAGUGAGUGAUGGAAUUACAUUUUAAAAGUUAUAGUUAGGCUGGGGUGUAGCUACAAAGCUCUAGGUGCAAUCAUAGCACUUAAAAUGCACAUAACACAGAAUUUACAAUUUUAAGCAUCUUUUAAGAGUACAAUUCAGUAGUAUUAAGUACAUUCACAGUGUUGUGCAACUAUCUCUACUAUCUAGUUUCAGAUUUUUUUUUUUUUUUUUGGUACUGGGGUGGUGGAACCCUGGCCUCCAUCAUACUAAGUAUGUGCUCUAUCCCUGAGUGACACCCCAGCCCCAGAACUUUUUCAUCACCUCAAGGAACUUAAAUUUGAAGGAAGAUUUAUCUAGCUCCAAACCCGUGCACUAUGUCUGUAAUUUUUAUAGCUUGAUGAAGAGCUGGAUCCUGUGGCAUAAACAGGAAGUGCAAAAGGGAUUCAGAAAGGGAGUGUUAAUGUAGACUUUGGGCUCCCUCCACUAACUAGGAAAGUCUUUGGAAUGUGGAAGUUUCAAUGAGAGGUCAGGUUCAGAGAGAGGAGGAGUGCGGGCUUGACAUUCUGGGCAGGGAAAAUGGUACAAGUAAAGAAAGAGGGAUGGGAGCAGAGAAAGGGAGGGACACUUUCAGUGAUGACUGCAGAAAUUUCUGUACAGGUGGAGUUUCAGAGAGGCAUCAGCCUUCAGAAGAUGGAGAUGGCAGGAGGCUCAGCGACUUGUUUUGAAUUGAAACCCUCUACUUUUAUUUUAAUCAUGUUUACUUGGAGGCUCCACCAAAAUUCUACCCAUCUUGACACCACCAUUGUGCAGACGGUCGGUGCUCAGUGAAGAGUGGUGAACUAGAAAUUCGACAGGACAUAGCUGUCACCAGCAUGAAUCCACAAAUUACUGAUAGCAUGUUGUCCUAUCACCUCUGUUUACAGAUGUUGCUUGCUUAUGAGGUUUAAAGACUGAAGCCCCACAGGCAUGGUGGCUUAGGCAGGAGAAUCUCAAGUUCAAGGCCAGCUUCAGCAAUAUAGUAAGGCCCUGAGCCACAUAGUGAGACCCUGUCUCAAAAUAAAAAAUAGAAAGGACUUGGGGAUGUAGCUCAGUGGUUAAAGCGCCCUGGGUUCAACCCCCAGUACUCACCUGUGCACAGACACACAAAAAGAAUGAUUCCUCUGAUUCCCAGAACCACAUGCUUCAACUGUCAUCCAUGUGACCACAGAGCUGUCACUUCCUGAGAGGACCUCCAAGUGAGUUCCAUAUAGUUCUGGCAUUGUGGUGACACCCUGGAUGGAUGACCUUGGAUUCAUUACAAUGAUCCAGUGAGGUGGCAUACUGAUCUCUGGAAAUCUCCCUUGUGAAAGCUCUAAUGACAGCAUGCAUGCCACACCCCCAUCACCCAGCCUAGUACACACCCAAACCCCAGUCCUGCCAGGGAGAAGGUGCCUUUAUAGCAUGAACUCCUUUACUCCAUUCAUUCAUUGGCCCUUGAAUAAAAUGUCCUGCCUGCUCCCGGGACUGUUUGGUUAUUUAUAUGCAGUAUUGAGCAGAAAAGAGGGUGCAUGUGUGUGGAAGCUCCAGCAGAGGAGGCAGAGUUAGGACAUGGGGAAGAGCUUGGAUCUUAAAAUAGGUUAGGCAGUGCUGGGGACAUAGCUCAGUGUAAAGUAUUUGCCUAGCAUGUGAAAGGCCUUGUGUUCAAUCUGCAGCACUGCCAAGAAGAAGAAGAAGAAAAGAAGUUAGGCAACAGAGAGCCAUUGCAAGUUCUUGAGCAAUGACCACAUGGUGUGAUGAAAUUGGGAUUUAAAUUUACAAUGGUUUCUCCAUUUCUUCCCGGCCUGGGAGCGCCCCCUGGUGCCCCUAGGUUUUUUUUUUUUUUUAAUUAAAAAAUUUUAUUGAUGUAUUUAGUGAGAGUCAUUGUUACGUGUUCAUACAUGCACAUGAUCUAAUAAGACACUUUGGUCAGUAUAAUUCUCCGGUGUUUCCCUUCUUCCUCCCCUCCUCCCUCCCUUUGGCCCCUUUCCUCUACUGGUCUCCCUUUGAUUUUCAGGAGGUGCCCUGCCCCCCAUAACUUUCUUUCCCUUUUCCUCUCUAGCUUCCACAAUGAGAGAAAACAUACAACCCUUGACUGAUAAUGGUCUCAAGUUCCAUUCGUUUACCUGCCAAUGACAUAAUUUCAUUCUCUUUUGUAGCUGAAUAAAACUCCAUUGUGUAUAUAUACACCAUAUUUUCUUUAUCCAUUCAUCCACUGACAUACACGUAGGCUGGGUACGCAUAUAUCUGUAUAGUGUGAUGACUUGAAUUCUUUAGGAUAAAUACCGAAGAAUGGGAUAGCUGGGUUAUAUGUGAUUCCAUGCCUAGUCUUUUGAGGAACCUCCAUACUGAUUUCCAUAAUGGUUGCACUAAUUUACAAUUCCACCAACAGCAUGAAAGUUCUCUACCCCUCUAUAAUGGCAUCCCUAGUUUGAAUUGUUCCCUCAUCAGAUAUGGAAUAGGUGGAAAGAUAGGGAGCCGAUUGAAUUGCAAAGCUGGGCUCUUGGAGGUAAUGUGUAGAUAGAGACCUUUGAGAGUAAACAGAGAUUGCACCAUAGAAUUUUCUUCUCUCUUUGUCAUAAUUACUGUGUCUGUUGUGCUUUGGAAACUAGCACAGAAGUCAGGUAAGCUAGGGACUGAAGAUGGAUGAUAUUAGAAAGGUCCAUGUGUUUAAGAAACAGGCACUCUCAUUAGGAGGACAGGCAAGUACUAUAAUGUUAUACUACAAAGCACCAAGAACCAGGAUGCAAGUAUGCACAUAGAACAGUUACUUGGAGCCAGGUUCAACGGUAUACUCCUGUAAUGCCAGAGACUGGGGAGGCUGAGGCAGGAAGAUCACAUGUUUGAGACCAGCCUCUCAAAUUAGCAAGACCCUCAGCAACUUAGUGAGACCCUGUCUCAAAUAAAACAAAAAGGACUGGGGUAAAGCACUCCUGGGUUCAGUCCCUAGUACCAAAUUAAUAACAACAACAAAAGGGCUAGGGAUGUAGCCCAGUACUAAAAUGCACCUGGGUUCAAUCCUUAAUAUUAAAACAUCAAUUCUCAAUAUUAAAACAAAAAAUAUUAAAACAAAAAUCCCAGUUACUUGGAGUUGUGAGUGUAGCUCCUGGAAGAGUUGACAUCUAGCAUCAUUUUGUUUUUUGGUUUUUGGUGAUUAGGAUUGAACCCAGGGGCACUUACCAUUGAACUGCAUCUCUAGCCCUUUUAACUUAGAGACAGGGUCUUGCUAAAUUGUGGAGGCUGCCUGAGCCUUCUGAGUACCUGGGAUUACAGGCAUUCACCACCAUGCCUGGCUCCACCUACCCUCAUUUUAAGGGAUGAAUUAUAGGUAAGGAGCUGGACAGGUGUGGGGUGGGCUGAGCAGAGUGUGGCACAGCCUGCUCUGUGCAGGGGACUGUUAGCAGUUAAUUCAAAACCCACAAGGGAGGAAAAAGGUUAGUCAGAUUUACAAACCAUAAUUUUUUUUUUUCAGUUCUGGGGAUUGAAACUAGGGUUGUUUUACCACUGAGCUGCCUCCCCAGUCCUUUUUAUUUAUUUCUUAAAAAUUUAAGACAGGGUAUAGGCAAAUUGCUGAGGCUGGCCUUGAACUCACCUUUCUCUGCCUCCCCAGUCACUGGGAUUACUGGCCUCUGCCACAGCCCUGGGAAAUAAUGAUGAAUUAUUAACGGCAAUAGAGUGUGUAUGAAUGGUUUUAAGCAAGAGCGCAAUCAGAAGCCAGUUUAAAUGCAUUAGAAUUCAGACUCCAGGAGGAACAGAAAUAAAGGUCUUCUUUCGAAGAUUCCAUUUCCCUUGUAAAUCCCAAAGGAUCAAUCCUGUCUGGGGAGGCUGUCUCCUACACACAAGAUGUGGCUCUCUUUUAACCUUGUUACCCUCAUGUGACUGAGUUCCUCCUGGCAGCCUCUCCUUCCCACAUCCAGCUUCAAGUGGGACACAACAUUUCUCUGAGGUUUCUAAAAAUAAUCCUUGCAUCAGUUCUAGCUAUGGAGUACUAUGCAGCUGUCAAAAGAAUAAGGACAAUCUCUGCACUGGAGAUGAUUGUCAGGAAGUUUUUUUGUUUUGUUUUAUUUGCAUUUGUGGGAAUUAAACUCGGGGCAUCCCAAAUGUGAGUCAAGUGCUCUCCUGAGACCAACCUACUUCCUAGCCCCCCGCCUUUUAAAUAUUUUUUAGUUGUCACUGGACCUUUAUUUAAUUAAUUAAUUUAUAUGCAGUGCUGAGAAUCGAACCCAGUGCCUCACACAUGCUAAGUGAGUUCUCUAUCACUGAGUCACAACCCCAGUCCCCCAGGCCUUUUUAAGUUAAAAAAAUUUUUUUUCAUCAGUACUGGGGACUAAAUCCAGGAGCAAUCUACAACUGAACUAUAUCCCCUGCCUUUUAUUUUUUUUAUUUUGAGAUGGGUUCUCUCUAAAUUUCCAAGGUUGAUUUAAAACUUGAGAUCCUCCCACUUCAGCUUCCAGAGUUACAAGUGUGCACCACUGUGCUAAGCCAGGAGAUAUUUUUCAACUAAAAAACUAGAGCUAGGUCUAGGGCUGGGGCUCAGCGGUAGAGCGCUCACCUAGCAUGUGUGGUGAGCUAUGUACCUAUGAGAAUGUCCAGAAUCCAAAGUACCAUCACCACUCAGAAAGCAACUCUUUUUUGUUUUGGAACUGGAAUUGAACGCAGGGCACUUAACCACUGAGCAACAUCGAGACAUCUCUAGCUCCCUCCCCCCCUUUUAAAAAAUAUUUUUUUCAGUUGUAAUUGGACACAAUACCUUUAUUUUAUUUAUUUAUCUUUGUGUGGUGCUGAGGCUUGAACCCAGUGCCUUGUACAUACUAGGCGAGCGCUCUACUGCUGAGCCACAACCCUAGCACCCCCUAGCCCUUUUUAAAAUAUUUUAUUUCGAGACAGGGUCUCACUGAGUUGCUUUGGGCCUCGCUAAAUUGCUGAGGCUGGGUUUGAAUUGGUGAUCCUCCUGCCUCAGCCUCCCUAGCCACUGGGAUUACAGGCAUGCUCCAUAGGAACUCUUGCAAGGCUAGCGGGAAUACAAAAAGAUACAGCCACUGUGACAGUUUGAUAGUUUCUUACACCUCCAACAACGCUUGUAUUCCUUUGGUAUUUACCCAAAUGAGUUGAAAACGUGUCUACUCAGGACCCCUCCCAGGGGCACGUGCCCUCCAGUCUCUGCCACUGUGUGCCUGUCACACUUCAGGCAGUCCUGCCCUAACUGCUGGACAAGGCACUGCUGCCCCUGAAGCAGGAGUUUCAGGCCAAUGGUGACAGUGUGUAGCCCUCCCAGGGUGUUCUAGUGUCCAGUGGGUGGGGCAGGGCCACAUCCCUGGAUUCAUUGCCACAUGGCUACCCUAACUGAGCAAUCAAUAUUGAUUGCCACUUGAUUUUUUUUAAAUUUAUAUUUCUUUUUUUAUUUAUUUUUUUAUUAUUAGUUGUUCAAAACAUUACAAAGCUCUUGAAAUAUCAUAUAUAAAUUUAUAUUUCUAUUUAAAAAAAUUUUUAGUUAUACAUGGGCACAAUAUCUUCAUUUUGUUUAUUUAUUUUUAUGUGGUGCUGAGGAUCGAACCCAGGGUCUCACAUGUGAGAGGCGAGUGCUCUACCGCUGAGCCACAACCCCAGCUCCA